CACCGAGAGAGCAAACGGCAGUGAAAAGGGCUGAAAUGAACCCAGCGGCCAGAUAGGAGAGUGAAAGAGGAGCUUUGGGAAUUUAAGCCCUUCCUACAAUCACAGAAGAAGAUCAGAACGGGUUUUCA
rnacentral:lncRNA from 12 species